rnacentral:RNase_P_RNA from 2 species
AGAGUCGGCCGGGCAGUCGCCGCCUUCGCAAGAAGGGGGAGGAAAGUCCGGGCUCCGCAGGGCAGAGUGCCAGGUAACGCCUGGGAGGCGCGAGCCUACGGAAAGUGCCACAGAAAACUACCGCCUAAGCGCGCAAGCGCCGGUAAGGGUGAAAAGGUGCGGUAAGAGCGCACCGCACGGCUGGUAACAGUCCGUGGCUAGGCAAACCCCACUCGGAGCAAGACCAAAUAGGGAUCCAUUGGCGUGGCCCGCGCUGGAUCCGGGUAGGUUGCUAGAGGUGGUCAGUGAUGGCCAUCGUAGAUGAAUGACUGUCCUCGACAGAACCCGGCUUACAGGCUGACUCUCUCU